rnacentral:lncRNA from 1 species
CCAAGGAUAAUCAAUGUAAUUAUGUUAGAAAAUACACAUGGAUUACUAAUCGUGAAGACCAAGGAUAAUCAAUGUAAUUAUGUUAGAAAAUACACAUGGAUCUACUAAGAGAUAUCAUUUUCACUCUUAAUCAUUUCAUUUUUUCCAAGUCCUCUACAACUUACUUGAAGGAGUGACCAAAUUCCAAAUAGAUUUAUCUUGAAAUUAAAUUCUCUGAAACUGCAACUGAAAAAUAACCUAUUUUUAGUCAUAUUUGGCUCAAUUGAUCUAUCUUCAUGAAAGUUGUAGACAAUCCAAUAAGCUUUCCAACUAUAUCAAAUGGUGCUUCUAAUUUCUCAUCUACACUUCGGGCUACUAAAAAAACUAGAGAUGUCUCAUAUUCAUGCACAGAUACAGUAAAUUGUCUUCUCCAUCAAUUUUCCUUCAACUUAACAUCAAAUUUAGUUCAAGCAUGCUUCAUAAACUUUGUUAGAAUUCGAGUUAGCUUUCAAACAUGAUAGGCCUCAACUUGUGAAACUAAUUGCAGUCAACAAAAACAUCAGAAGUGUGCUAUGUGAACCAAGAACUGUGAUGACUGAACUCUUCUCUUGAAAUUCCCUGCCUUUUCCACCUCUAAUCUCUCUAAAACCUUCUUCCUCUUCUUCACUCUGUUUGGCUCUGAAAUUUGGAUGGAAAAACGAUGGGUAUGAAGUUAGCAGUGGAUGAGUUUCUU